AGGAGUUAUGGAGGAUAGUAUAAGAGCCAAGAGACAGAUUUGUAAAGAUACUUAGGUGCCUACUGGGAUUUUCAAAAGUACUUUGGUGCCUAACACCAUUGAUUUAUUUUUAAAAUGGCCACCCAUAGCCUGCCUGUCUGACUGCAAACGCUGAUAGGUUUGGAGGCACCAUACAGACACAUAGUAAGGGAUGUUCCCUAACUGAAAGAGAUUACAGUCUAAACAGUGAAGACAGGCAAGGAUGGAGGACAAGGAAGUAUUGCUAUGCCUACUUCGCUGAUGGAGAGAGAGAGUUACAAUUAUGCACAAAUUACCUGCCAUCUUGCGCCAUCUGGAUAACUAUACAUGUAUUCCUGCUAUUCUACUCAGGAACUCACAGCCCCACCUAUCACUGGCAGGAAGCCUGAAAACAGCAACUUACAUUUUUUUCCUUAACUCUCCAGAUAAAAUGCUUGUGCAUCAAUGUCAAAACUUCAGAUUUCUUUUCCCUGAUGUUAUUUUUACCUAGGUAUAUAAUGCAGGGACGGCACACUUCUUUCCUGCAUUCAGAAUUGACCUGUCUUCUUUUCUGUGCCCUCAACCU